ACGGAAGGCAGCAGUGGGGAAUAUUGCACAAUGGGCGAAAGCCUGAUGCAGCGACGCCGCGUGAGCGAAGAAGUAUUUCGGUAUGUAAAGCUCUAUCAGCAGGGAAGAUAAUGACGGUACCUGACUAAGAAGCACCGGCUAAAUACGUGCCAGCAGCCGCGGUACUACGUAUGGUGCAAGCGUUAUCCGGAUUUACUGGGUGUAAAGGGAGCGUAGGCGGUUUUACAAGUCUGAUGUGAAAGCCCGGGGCUCAACUCCGGUAUUGCAUUGGAAACUGUAGAACUAGAGUGUCGGAGGGGUAAGUGGAAUUCCUAGUGUAGCGGUGAAAUGCGUAGAUAUUAGGAGGAACACCAGUGGCGAAGGCGGCUUACUGGACGAUUACUGACGCUGAGGCUCGAAAGCGUGGGGAGCAAACAGGAUUAGAUACCCUGGUA
rnacentral:rRNA from 1 species